rnacentral:rRNA from 1 species
AACGAACGCUGGCGGCAGGCCUAACACAUGCAAGUCGAGCGCACCUUCGGGUGAGCGGCGGACGGGUUAGUAACGCGUGGGAACGUACCCUUUUCUACGGAAUAGCCUUUGGAAACGAAGAGUAAUACCGUAUACGCCCUUUGGGGGAAAGAUUUAUCGGAGAAGGAUCGGCCCGCGUUAGAUUAGAUAGUUGGUGGGGUAACGGCCUACCAAGUNUACGAUCUAUAGCUGGUUUUAGAGGAUGAUCAGCAACACUGGGACUGAGACACGGCCCAGACUCCUACGGGAGGCAGCAGUGGGGAAUCUUAGACAAUGGGCGCAAGCCUGAUCUAGCCAUGCCGCGUGAGUGAUGAAGGCCUUAGGGUCGUAAAGCUCUUUCGCCUGUGAUGAUAAUGACAGUAGCAGGUAAAGAAACCCCGGCUAACUCCGUGCCAGCAGCCGCGGUAAUACGGAGGGGGUUAGCGUUGUUCGGAAUUACUGGGCGUAAAGCGCACGUAGGCGGAUUGGAAAGUUGGGGGUGAAAUCCCGGGGCUCAACCCCGGAACUGCCUCCAAAACUAUCAGUCUAGAGUUCGAGAGAGGUGAGUGGAAUUCCAAGUGUAGAGGUGAAAUUCGUAGAUAUUUGGAGGAACACCAGUGGCGAAGGCGGCUCACUGGCUCGAUACUGACGCUGA